UAUUCCCAACUGCUUUACACUCUUAAUUAUUUAAAACUAAGCCAAGAAAAUAAAAAUAAAUAAAUAAAUAAAUCAACAGUCAUCAUCGCAAAUUGUGAAGGGUCUGCCCAGAGUUGUCAAAAAUUGACGAUCAAGCAGAGGAAGAACAGAAAACUUGCGAGGCCCCUCCAGUUUCCCAAGUUUUUCACCCAACCAUGUUGGCGGUUAUCACCUUCCCUCUCCGCCGCAGAUACCCAUUUGCAAGUUCCCUCUCUCUCUCUGAAAAACUACAAGGCCCUUCCCGCAUAAUCUCAUCCCUCUCCGUAUCUCUUCUUUACAAGACCUAAAAUUUUCAGAUCCAAUGCCUUCAAUUACCAAAAUCCAGUAAACAACCUCAAAUAUACCUCUGACCACCAAGAAAUUUGCCCAAAAAUUUUCUCCACGACAAGAAAACACGGUAUUUGCGACACUUGUUUUGCGACGCAUGAUGCGGUGGUGGUAAUAAAUACGAAUUUCACUAAUUUUCUGCACGGUUAACUUUGGCGCUUUGUUAUUUACGAUCCCAUUGAGUUCCGUCGCAUGCAUGAAUAAGCAAAAGAGAAAAGGAAAAAAGUUAAAAAUGAGACUCAGUACGUUCGAGUAUCCCUCUCGCUCUCCGCCUCUCUCCUUCUCGCUCUUUGCCUCUCUGCCUCUCUGCCUCUCUUCAAAGCUUAAAUCCUUCUCUCCCACUCUCGCCAUAAUCCCUAAUGCUGAGACACAAUUGAACCAGGUAAUAAUUCAUGGUUCUUGUUCCCUCUCUCAAAUACCCCUUUACUAUCCCUAAUUUUUUUCUCAUCUAUCCGUUCUUUCUUUUUGCUACUGGAAAGUCGAAUUCAACGUCAUAUGUUCUCAUUCAGGUGAUGAAAUGACGAGGAUCAUAUGGAAACAGUUAACGAUGUGUGAAGAUUCAUUCAGAGUGAUUUUAAGUUUAUUGAUACUUCUGUUGUAGAAUUUGAUUUAAUUUAAUCUGAGUUUUUCGUUCGUAUGUUGUUGUAGCUUAGUUUUCCCUAUCUGGACUUGGAUAUAAAGUAUUAUGAUGACAGAGUUACAGUAGAGAGUGUUGAAGCCACUCUUAAGUAUUUGCUUUUUGUUUAGUGUGAAAAUAAUAGCAUAAGAUUUGUUUUAACUAUUGAUUUUGGUACUUUGUUUAUAAUUACCAACCCUUUAAAUUAGAAAUAAAGAAAGAUAGAUAUAUGAAAGGAAACUUGAUGUUCCUGGAGAGAUAUAUGAAAGGAAAAUAUAUCCUUUUGAGUUUUCUACUGUUGAGAUGUCAUAUGAGACUUAGAACGGGGUGAAUGUGAGACUUAGGUAACUCUUAAGACAUUGAUAGUUACUUAUAUUUUCAUUCUUAAUUGUUUAUCGAAGACUUGAAGUAAAUAUCUAUUGGCAGCUUUUAGAUUUUGCUACACUAGUGUAGUUGUGGUUAUGGUAGUAGCAUAGUGGAAUACCAGGAUUUUGUGGUAAUCUCUCUCUCUUGGAAUACCAGGAUCUUUUGAGCAUCAUGCACACUUUUUAUUAUCUAUCUAGUGUGAUGCAACAGCCACCCCAUUGUUAGUCCUCCUUCAAUGGAUCUUCCUAUAAUUUUAUUGCCUUUGCAGAUGGAAGUCAGAAUUGAAGAUUGUCUGCAUAUUGAGUUUGAGUACAACAAGAGCCAAGUAAGUCGAAAUGUAUUUCAUGACCAGGGUCUUGUGUUUGUCAUUAGUGGUUUACAUGCGUGAGAUGAAAUCCGGAAACAAUGGCUGUUUUCUGCUUGACAUUUAUCUGUUUGUGAUGCUCAGUCCCAGCAGGAGAUUCCCCUGUUGAACUUGAUGUUUACAAUUCAAAGGGCCUAGUGUCGCCCGGUUGGUACAUCUUGCCUAGUUUGAUCAACAGGAGGAACAAAGUGAAGAAACAAAUCCAUUAGAUUCUUCCAUUUCGCUAACUAAAUAAACGGCGUCUCGCACUCGUACCUCGCCUUUGGCGCCUUCUACUUCAUUCACGACCCAAGCUUUGAUUUCAAUCCGAACUAAAUGUUGUUGAGGCCUGGUGUGGCCCUUUCUAUGUAUAAUGUUGAUGAGGUUUGUAUUGUAAUAUGAAGGGGAGAGACAUAAAGUUUAGAAGGAAAAACACUCAAGGGGAUCUCUUGCUAGGUUCGAUAGAGAAGCACAGGUCUAACAUAGGAUUUUAGACCAUAUAAAUGUUUGGAUCAUGUAUAUAUGUUUAAUUACUGUAAGUUUAAUACGUUAUUUGAUAUCAAAAUUCCAAAUAAGUGUGUUUCAUUUUGUGAA